AGAGUUUGAUUCUGGCUCAGAACGAACGCUGGCGGCGUGGAUAAGACAUGCAAGUCGAACGGAGAUCUUGAAUAGCUUGCUAAUUAAGAUCUUAGUGGCGGACGGGUUAGUAACACGUGAGAACCUACCCUUUAGACAGGAAUAGCCCAUGGAAACGUGGAUUAAUGCCUGAUAGUCUCUAUGGAGUAAAUGGUGCCUUCGGGUAUCGCUAAAGGAUGGGCUCGCGGCCUAUCAGCUUGUUGGUGAGGUAAAGGCUCACCAAGGCGACGACGGGUAGCUGGUCUGAGAGGACGAUCAGCAACACUGGAACUGAGACACGGUCCAGACACCUACGGGUGGCAGCAGUCGAGAAUCAUUCACAAUGGAGGAAACUCUGAUGGUGCAACGCCGCGUGGAGGAUGACGGCCCUAGGGUUGUAAACUCCUGUCAUUGGGGAGUAAGACUUAUGCGUUAAGAGCGUGUAAGUUUGAUAGUACCCAAAGAGGAAGGGACGGCUAACUUCGUGCCAGCAGCCGCGGUAAUACGAAGGUCCCAAGCGUUGUUCGGAAUCACUGGGCGUAAAGCGUGUGUAGGCUGCGCGGAAAGUCAAAUGUGAAAGCCCGGGGCUCAACCUCGGAACUGCAUUCGAUACUCCCGUGCUAGAGUAAUGGAGAGGUAAGUGGAAUUCCUGGUGUAGCAGUGAAAUGCGUGGAUAUCAGGAGGAACAUCAAUGGCGAAGGCAACUUACUGGACAUUUACUGACGCUCAGACACGAAGGCUAGGGUAGCGAAAGGGAUUAGAUACCCCUGUAGUCCUAGCAGUAAACGGUGCUCGCUUGGUGUGGGAGGAUUCGACCCCUUCUGUGCCGGAGCUAACGCGUUAAGCGAGCCGCCUGGGAAGUACGGUCGCAAGACUAAAACUCAAAGAAAUUGACGGGGACCCGCACAAGCGGU
rnacentral:rRNA from 1 species